CGUUCCUACGGGGGGCAGCAGUGGGGGAUAUUGCACAAUGGGGGAAACCCUGAUGCCGCGACGCCGCGUGAGCGAUGAAGUAUUUCGGUAUGUAAAGCUCUCUCAGCAGGGAAGAAAAUGACGGUACCUGACUAAUAAGCCCCGGCUAACUACGUGCCAGCAGCCGCGGUAAUACGUAGGGGGCAAGCGUUAUCCGGAUUUACUGGGUGUAAAGGGAGCGUAGACGGCAGUG
rnacentral:rRNA from 1 species